rnacentral:rRNA from 1 species
GAUGAACGCUGGCGGCGUGCCUAAUACAUGCCAGUCGAGCGAACAGACGAGGAGCUUGCUCCUCUGACGUUAGCGGCGGACGGGUGAGUAACACGUGGAUAACCUACCUAUAAGACUGGGAUAACUUCGGGAAACCGGAGCUAAUACCGGAUAAUAUAUUGAACCGCAUGGUUCAAUAGUGAAAGACGGUUUUGCUGUCACUUAUAGAUGGAUCCGCGCCGCAUUAGCUAGUUGGUAAGGUAACGGCUUACCAAGGCAACGAUGCGUAGCCGACCUGAGAGGGUGAUCGGCCACACUGGAACUGAGACACGGUCCAGACUCCUACGGGAGGCAGUAGUAGGGAAUCUUCCGCAAUGGGCGAAAGCUUGACGGAGCAACGCCGCGUGAGUGAUGAAGGUCUUCGGAUCGUAAAACUCUGUUAUUAGGGAAGAACAAAUGUGUAAGUAACUAUGCACGUCUUGACGGUACCUAAUCAGAAAGCCACGGCUAACUACGUG